rnacentral:rRNA from 1 species
CAAUCGAACUCGGAGAUAGCUGGUUCUCCUCGAAAUAGCUUUAGGGCUAGCCUUGUUUAGUAGCAUGUGGAGGUAAAGCACUGAAUAUGUGAGGGUUCUUACCAGAAUACCGAUCAUUAUCAAACUCUGAAUGCCAUGUGUGUAAGAACAGGAGUCAGACAGUGACAGCUAAGUGCCAUUGUCAAAAGGGAAAGAGCCCAGACCAACAGCUAAGGUCCCAAAAUUGUAGUUAAGUGGAAAAGGAUGUGGGAAUUCAUAGACAACCAGGAUGUUGGCUCAGAAGCAGCCAUUCAUUUAAAGAGUGCGUAAAAGCUCACUGGUCGAAGUAGGCCUGCGCCGAAAAUUACCGGGGCUAAACUACAUACCGAAGCUUUGGAUUUGGUACGUAAAGUAUUAAGUGGUAGAGGAGCGUUGUAUAAAGGUUGAAGCUAUACUGAAAAGAGUAGUGGACGAUAUACAAGAGAGAAUGCCGGAAUAAGUAGCGAGAGCACAGUGAGAAUCUGUGCCGCCGAAAACCUAAGGUUUCCUGGGGAAGGUUCGUCCGCCCAGGGUAAGUCGGGACCUAAGACGAGGCUAAAGCAGCGUAGUCGAUGGAAAGCAGGUAAAAGAUUCCUGCACUACCGAAAUGCGAUAUACAAUAUAUCAUGACGCAUCAGAAGAGUCUAAGCGAGCAAAUGGAAAAGUUCGUACCGCAAGGUGGAGUGAAAAAUAGUAACGAAGUAGAUAAAUCAGGUGACAAGAAAAGUGAUAUAGGAGCAUAGAGGUACUCGUACCGUAAACCGACACAGGUAGGAAGAAAGAGAAUUUUCAGGCGAACGAGAGAAUCAUUGUUAAGGAACUCGGCAAAUUAACCCCGUAACUUAGGGAUAAGGGGAGCCAAUAGCAAUAUUGGCCGCAGAGAAAUGGCCCAAGCAACUGUUUAGCAAAAACACAGGUUUCUGCCAAAUCGAAAGAUGAAGUAUAGGAGCUGACGCCUGCCCAGUGCUGGAAGGUCAAGGGGAAGAGUAAACGUUUCGAUGUGAAGCUCUGAACUUAAGCCCCAGUGAACGGCGGCCGUAACUAUAACGGUCCUAAGGUAGCGAAAUUCCUUGUCAGGUAAGUUCUGACCCGCACGAAAGGCGUAAUGAUUUGGGCACUGUCUCGACAAUGAACUCGGCGAAAUUGUAGUACUAGUGAAGAUGCUAGUUACCUGUGAUAAGACAGAAAGACCCCAUGGAGCUUUACUGUAGCUUGAUAUUGAGACUAGGUAAGAGAUGUACAGAAUAGAUGGGAGACUAUGAGAUAAGGACGCCAGUUCUUAAGGAGUCACCUUUGGGAUACCAUCCUUCUUUUACUUGGAAUCUAACUAGUUGCCAUGAACUGGUAAUAGGACAGUGUCAGGUGGGCAGUUUGACUGGGGCGGUCGCCUCCUAAAGAGUAACGGAGGCGUUCAAAGGUCAGCUUAACACGGUCAGAAAUCGUGUGAUGACGUGCAAAGGCGUAAGCUGGCUUGACUGCAAGACUGACAGGUCGAGCAGACGCGAAAGCGGGACUUAGUGACCCGAUGGUUGUGAGUGGAAAUGCCAGAGCUCAACGGAUAAAAGUUACCCUGGGGAUAACAGGCUUAUCUCCCCCGAGAGUCCAUAUCGACGGGGAGGUUUGGCACCUCGAUGUCGGCUCAUCGCAUCCUGGAGCGGUAGUACGUUCCAAGGGUUGGGCUGUUCGCCCAUUAAAGCGGUACGCGAGCUGGGUU